rnacentral:rRNA from 1 species
UACGUAGGGCGCAAGCGUUGUCCGGAAUUAUUGGGCGUAAAGAGCUCGUAGGUGGCUUGUCACGUCGGGUGUGAAAGCUUGGGGCUUAACUCCAGGUCUGCAUUCGAUACGGGCUAGCUAGAGGUAGGUAGGGGAGAACGGAAUUCCUGGUGUAGCGGUGAAAUGCGCAGAUAUCAGGAGGAACACCGGUGGCGAAGGCGGUUCUCUGGGCCUUACCUGACGCUGAGGAGCGAAAGCGUGGGGAGCGAACAGG